rnacentral:tRNA from 1 species
CACGUAGCAAGAUAGAGCAUCAGAUUCCUAAUCUGGGGGUCGCGCGUUCGAAUCGCGCCGGGAUCACCA